CCUACGGGAGGCUGCAGUGAGGAAUAUUGGUCAAUGGACGAGAGUCUGAACCAGCCAAGUAGCGUGAAGGAUGACUGCCCUCUGGGUUGUAAACUUCUUUUAUAAAGGAAUAAAACGAGGCACGUGUGCCUUUUUGCAUGUACUUUAUGAAUAAGGCUCGGCUAACUCCGUGCCAGCAGCCGCGGUAAUACGGAGGAGCCGAGCGUUAUCCGGAUUUAUUGGGUUUAAAGGGAGCGUAGAUGGGUUGUUAAGUCAGUUGUGAAAGUUUGCGGCUCAACCGUAAAAUUGCAAUUGAUACUGGCAGUCUUGAGUACAGUUGAGGUAGGCGGAAUUCGUGGUGUAGCGGUGAAAUGCUUAGAUAUCACGAAGAACCCCGAUUGCGAAGGCAGCUUACUAAACUGUGACUGACAUUGAUGCUCGAAAGUGUGGGUAGCAAACAGGAUUAGAUACCCCAGUAGUC
rnacentral:rRNA from 1 species